UUCUUAAUCAGUUGUUGCAUUUGCCUUUUCUAUUUUAUGCCAGGUGACAUGGGUACUCUUUGUUACUGGGUUCAGGUCACACAAUCAGGGUUCUUCCCUAAAGCCUCAUGUCAUAGGAAACCUUUUACAUGACUGGUGGUUGGAAUACAGCUGAAUCCUCAAUUUAUGGGCAUUGAUCUCAAAUGAGUGUGGCAGGAGCCAGAAAAGCUUGUCAAAGUCAAUAUGGGUGGUUGAAGGAAGCAUUUGAUAG